AUGAACGCUGGCGGCGUGCCUAAUACCUGCAAGUCGAGCGAACAGACGAGGAGCUUGCUCCUCUGACGUUAGCGGCGGACGGGUGAGUAACACGUGGAUAACCUACCUAUAAGACUGGGAUAACUUCGGGAAACCGGAGCUAAUACCGGAUAAUAUCUUGAACCGCAUGGUUCAAUAGUGAAAGACGGUUUUGCUGUCACUUAUAGAUGGAUCCGCGCCGCAUUAGCUAGUUGGUAAGGUAACGGCUUACCAAGGCAACGAUGCGUAGCCGACCUGAGAGGGUGAUCGGCCACACUGGAACUGAGACACGGUCCAGACUCCUACGGGAGGCAGCAGUAGGGAAUCUUCCGCAAUGGGCGAAAGCUUGACGGAGCAACGCCGCGUGAGUGAUGAAGGUCUUCGGAUCGUAAAACUCUGUUAUUAGGGAAGAACAAAUGUGUAAGUAACUAUGCACGUCUUGACGGUACCUAAUCAGAAAGCCACGGCUAACUACGUG
rnacentral:rRNA from 1 species